CAUGACCAGACCCGGCGGGACAGGACCCCGCUUUGGGUCCAAGUCCAGCGGUGUUUGCGGCGGGCCCGGGGCCUGGAAGCGCUGGGGCGGAGCCAAGAAUGAAACUGGAAAAUGACCUUCAUUGGAAAAGUCCCAGUCCUCGGGGAGCAGAUCCCCCAUCUCUGGCAGUGCAGUGCGCCUGGGCGCUGUCUGGAACAUUCCGCAACAGUCACUCCUCUGCCCUGCAUUGGCCUUGACCACAUGACCCAGAGGCACAGGGAGAAGCCUCCCCUGGAUGCUUGGUGAGUUGACUUCAGCGGCUGAGAGCGUCUAAGGAGAGCCGGGAGCACCACACGCUUCCUGCAGAUGGUGGGGCAGAUCUGUGUGCAGGAGUGCCUGAAGGGGAUCUCCUGUGGCGCUGCCUGGUCCAGGGAGGUCACAGAGUGCUCCUCCACCCUGAGCACAAGGGGUCCCACCAAGGACAAGGACGAGAUUCAGCACCGUCGCACGCAGAACAGCUGCGUGGAGCCACAGGUCACUUUCCCAAAAGGGAGUCUCCAAGCCAGAAGCCAUCCCUGCAGCGUUGUCUUCGUGCUCCAAGAGAAGCCCUGGCACACACUUCUGCUCAGAUGGAACCACUGUACCCUCAGCGUCCUUGUCAGUCCCAGCCGGUGACUUUCCUACCCAAACCCUUCCCUCACUCCCUGCCUCAUUUUCUCAAGGUGCCGUGUUUGCCUGAAAGGACAUUUGCGGCCAGCAGGGGUGGUGGCUGGUCCUCUAGCUGGGCACGAAUGCCACUGGCGGGCAACCUGGCAGACUCCAUGGAAAGGUGCUUCCCUUCCUCAAGGUAUGCACUCAGCGGGGAGACCUCAUUGUCAAGUUCAGAGUUACGCUGCAGACUGCACAGCACCUCGCCUGCUUCUAGGACCUGCUCUGGUCAGCCCCGGACCCGCCACAGCAGGACCCCGAAUCCUGUGCUCACCCAGGGCUUGUCCAUGGCACUGGAAACUCCUUCCUGUUCCUGAUCCCUUCUGGGCGAGGGGUGGGCAGGGACAUGUGGCUCGUGCCGAGGUCUAAUACUGUGUUCCCAGCAUGGAAGUAGGUGCCCUGAAGAGGAGUGGGGACACUUCUUGUGGCAUGCAGGAUUCCGUGUAGAAAGCUGUGACUGUCACCCCUCCUUCCCACUCGGUUUUGUGAGUGGACCUUUCCCUGGCCUUUCUCUCCUUGGCCCACUCUUGGCAGGAGAGAGGAGGAGAGGAUCUCACUUUCCCCUGCACCAGCCACAGCCUCGGUCUGCGGGGUUCCCAGCAGCUGGCCAGGGCCGCUCCACACCUGGUGGUCAAGUAACCAUCCCCUCACUGUGGACAUCUGCACCCUCUCUGGAGUUGGAACAGGAAAGAAAGCCAAGACCUUUAAGUGGACCUUGAGUUGAGACUCAUUUCUGUGGAGUCAGGGGUGAGGAGGAGCCAGGCCUCCUGUGUGCUCUCCAUACCGCAGAGCCGGGUGCCCAGUUCCAUGGGUCCUGAUGGACAGAAGGGAACAGCAGGGAGACUGCUGCACCGUGGGUGGCAAUGCAGGGGCUGCCGUCUCCAGCUGAGUGCCCAGGGACUCCUGGGGGCCGCUGGCCCUGGAUCCCAGCAGUGGGUCCUGUUUCUUCUUUCCUAUCUGAAUGCAGGGCCCGCCACCCCCAAACGUCCCCUCCACAUUUGGUGAAAUAGGAAGCUCCAUGGCUCUUAGCCAUCUUUCAGGGUGACUGAGAGAUUGGUUUUCACAGAAGCCUCAGUGGCCUGGUCCGUGUCCCCCUCUGCACGCGGCUGCAGAAAGUGAAGGAUUGUCAGGGAGCGGGGCAGACAUUUGGUUUAUCUAUGUCGUUGGUCAAAGUUUUGUUUUUCCUCCAGAAGAAAAAGGCUUCUGGACAUGCCACCGUGUUCUUCAUUCCUUCUUUUGGAAAUGUAUGAAGAACGGGUGGUAUGUUGAGUGAUUGGUCCGUGAACAGUUGGCCCAGAGGAAGAGGUAGAUGUGGAUGGGUGUGGCCGCCUCUGCCCCUCCCCAGUGCAGGUGGGUGUGGGCAGCCCAGGCAGGCGCUCAGGAAGGGUGAGGUGGAGCCUUGCACACUCUGAGCACAAAGUCCUGGGAUCCCUUAAACCCAGGCACUGCCUCGACGGCAGCCAGCAUGGCUGAUAGAAGAGACACAGAAGUCCAGCUGGGGCCAGACAGAGGGCGCCACUAGAGAGCCGCGCUACGUGGGGGUCAUUCAAGUUGUCUCGGUGUAUGCAGACGUUGCUUCUAGAGAGUCAGAAGCUCUAUAUGCCUACUGUUGGAGCAGAAUUUCGGGAUAGUGAUGGAAAGCCUCCUCCCAAGCCAGCUAGGGAGUAUGGGGAGGUGGUGGCCGGAGGAACCUGGCAUCCCCGGGUUACGGCCACGGAGGUGGCUGUGCCUGCAGCUCGGCCUGUGCGUCAUCCUGACUCGCCCUGCUUUGGCCAUGGCUCUUCUUGUCCUUCCUUCUUCUCAGUGCAGGAGGACCCUGAAUCAAAUGCCUCAUCCUGGUUUGCAUUUUACCCUUGGAUGAAGCUUGUGGUGAACCCCAGGGCUCUGUGUCUCCUGAGUCUCUGCAGACCUCGGGUCCUGGGCCCAGAGACUCUUCUCCCUGGGGCAGGAGGCACUGGGAUGUGUGGACGGGGGUGUCCUGGGGCACAGUAGCUGACGGAGGGACCUCCUAGCUUUCUGGGCCUUUCCGACCCUGAGUGUGACCUUCCUAUUCUUGAUCACAGCCCCAACCUGGGAGCCUGCUGGAACCUGCAGAAUGGGGCUUCAGCCUGUUCCUCUGUGAGAAAAGGUGGGCCUGGCAGUCCCACAAAUCUUGUGUGUUCACCUCGGUGGUGAAUACAUUCUUGGGUGGUGAAUACGUUCUCUCCUUGCCUUCACUCUGGAAAAGGCCCCUGUUUGGUGAUGCAGGAUGUGGUCAAUGACUGACUCGUUCUUCAGAGUGUCAAUAUCCCUCUGGACCGUAUACACAGCUCUGAUUUCUGGUGUUCCUGGGCUCUGCACACAGCAAGAGCCACUCUGGGCCUGUGAGAUGCAUCUUCUGGCUCACUUUCUUCUUGUUGGCUCUUUUCCCUGCAUCCUCUGCCACUGCUCUGUUCUGGGCAGGAGGCUCUCACCCUCUCCUGCCUCCCCUCUUUGAUCCUUUUCUGUGAGGGUCUGCUGGAGUCCUGUGUGUCGUGCAUCAUUGAUAGAUUCUGGUCGUGCUUGCUGUCCUCCCCAUUCUGAGGGACCUCUGAUUGCCUGUGAGCAGUUUACAGGGCCUCUCCUGGCCCCUUCACCCACAGCAUUCCUUCAACGGGUGAAUAUUUGUGAGGGGUGGAUCCUGGAAGUGACGUCAGGUGAGAAGGGAAAGUACAUUAACAAAGUACAUUAGCCCGGGGAGUUACUAACGCCCGAAAUGUAUUGUCAAAGUUCUGAAGGCUGAGAAGUCCAAGAUCAAUUGCCUGAGGAUUUAGUGCCUGGUGAGGACCCAUUCCUUAGGGCAGUGCCUCCAGCUGUGUCCUCAUGUGGCUGAAGGGGACAAGGGAGGUUGCUGGAGCCUGUUUGAUGAGAGCACUAAACCUCCUUCAGGAGGAGAUUAUUGAGAAUGUCCGUCUGGUUUCAGGGCAUUCCCAAAGGCCCCACCUGUUCUUUCUACCCCAUUGGGAAUUAGGCUUCAACAUAUAAAUCUGGGGGACACUGACAUUUAGGCCAUAGCACGUCAAAGACAAAGUGAGGUUGAGUGUGGAAAACAUCCCAGAAUCUGGAUGUGGCCCAGACAGAAGGAAACUCAAAGUGAUGGGGUGACCGAUGGUCCCUGGUGUGUGUAGGACUCAGCGGUGAGGAUGGCCCUGGGCACGGUGUCAGUGGCUGUUGGAGGAUGAUAGGGAACAUGUUGGCGGGGGGAGGGUGGAGCCCACUAUGAGUGGCAACUCCCUGGGGGUGCAGGAAGCAAAGCUACAGGCGACUCCCCUCUGCCCUCCCUGCACACAGUGUCACCUCUGUGGUGGCCCUGUCGUCCGCCUCAGUGCACAGGUGUUGCUGUAACAACUCCUGAAAUUACCUUCAAAAGGAGGGUUGUGCAGGUGCCUGCAGGAGACAGGAGGCCGCAGUGCAUCCUGAGUGUCCCGGGGACAGGCGAGCCUGGCAGGGGUCCACGGCCUCACAGUCCCAACGACUGCCUCAGAAACGGGCAGAGAGCAUGCUUGGUUCCAGCUUGCAGGGCCCACAUCUCAGAGCUGUGGACAGUCAUCAAGAGUCCAUGAGCAUGAAGAGGGGACAAAAAUGACCCAGGAACCUCAGGCCGCUGUGCUGCCAUCCAGCCACGUGCAGCAGCAGCCCUUCGGGCCUGAAGAUCCUUCUGCCCUUCUCUGGGCCUUGCUGAUUUCCUCCUCCAGCCCCGCAGUGUGUGCGCUCACACACACACGCACACACGCACACACAGUGCAAUUUCCCUCUGCUCCCCUGUGCUCCUCAAAAUUCACUGGGUUCCUCUUUCCUCCUCAGAGACAUAGUCCUGGGCCCCAUCUCAGCCUACAGAGGCCUGAACCUUUCCCAGGAUCGUUUUCUAAUUCUCAUGUCUUGCGCAAAACAAAACUAAAACUUCUAGUCUGGGUAUCUAAGCAUGUGAUGUGUAUGUUGUCUCAAACUGAAUACCUGUGAAACCACCACCUGUGCCAAAACCCAGUGUUUCCCAAGACCUAGAGGCUCUCUCCAGUCGCUAAUUGUGAUCACCUCUCCCGAUCACUGCUGAGCCCUGAAGGUCACCCUCUCCUGACCUAUUACACCGCUGACUGCUUACGCGGGGCACAAUUUUAUACCCUUGCUGUUGUUCCAUCUAAUCAUCCCCAUAACGCUAUGAGAUCAUCGUUCCCAUAUGACAGAGGAGAAAACUUGGGGACACAGGGGUUGUGUCCUGGCCAAGGCAUUGCUGGCAGCAAAAGGCAGAGCGGGCAUCCAGCCAGGAGCCCCAGCACAGUCCUGUUCUUCCCCCACUACACCGGGCUGUGAAACAGAUCAUGGCAGUUUGGAAAACGGGCUAACUGCAUGCUGUGGGAGGUGGUGACGGAUGCCCACUGCUUUUCAUGGGAAGGUGUGGUGUCUCCAUGUCCCCCUCAGGUCUAGCCUCGCUCUGUGGCUCAGAACCUUGGGAAAGUGGGAGGCUCAGAGCAGGAAAGGGACUUACUUGCCCAAGGGCCACAGCUGCUACAUGGCAGCUAAGGGAUCAUUAUUCUCCUGUCUCUUUCACAGAGGACAGGAGGAAAGUGAGGCCAGGUGGGUACAUGAGUUUAGCCUCUUUUCUGCAGAAGGCCCGGAUCAGCUUUGGACACAUUUGGUGCUGACCUCAAAUUCAGCCCUAGAGGGGCCUGUCUCUGCCCUGACUAUUGCGGUGCAGGCUUCUUCCCCUUUGUUCUGUCCGUUUCCAAAAAUGUGAACACACACCUCCUACAUGUUUGUGUAUAUUAUUGUGUGCAUAGAUAUUACCAUUGUAAAAUAUUUUGCAGAUUAAUAAUGCACUAUGCCAUUGAAAAUUUCAAAAGAAAUAUGUAAU
ensembl:lncRNA